GCAAGCAGCUUCAGUCGUGAGUGAGCCUUUCGGACGGAGAGGAGGCCCCGGCUCACAGCUUAGAAAUCUGAACCGUGCAAACCCGUUCACCUCCUCUCUCUCUCUCCCCCCUCGUGGAUAAAAAUGGCUUUCUGUUGCAGCCUGGAAAGCACCGAGAAACUGGUAAUAAAACGGGGAGGAGUGACUGGCUUCUUGUCUCUGUGCUCAAUCUGUCUCCUGAUUUCUUCACAUUCCUUUAUUGUUUUCUUUGUUGGUGUAAAACAAGUUUUUUUUUUGUUGUUGUUGCGCGCGCGAUCCAAAGCUCAGGUGCAGUCCGCGACCUGGACUUGGAUAUCUAAAAGGUGAUGGGUGUGUGGGGUGGAGGGGAGAGAAAAAAAAAGAAAGAAGUGUUUUCCCGUGUGUUGUGGUGACGCAGACACGCCAGACAAGGCCUCGGUUACGACCACUGCAGUGGAGGGGAAGGGGAAGGUGAAUGGGGCAACAGCGACCUCCGCGGGCGCAGCGACGACCGGAUGCUGCCGCUGCGCCAUGGUGGCUGCACACAAAAGGGGAAGGGAAGGGCUUUAUGGUGAUAUUUAGAUCCGCCAGACAAGCUGUUAUCUGCAGGAGGAGAAGAAGAAGAAGAAAAAGUGAAUAGCCCCUGUGGUAAAAAACACUCUGAUUUAGGUUUACAGCCUGAGAGCUGUUGGCACAGUGGCGUCCUUUCCUGCUCCGAAGGUGUUUGUCUAUUCUUGUUUGAGUUUUAGUGCACAAAUAGGCUCCUUUUUUUCUACCCCCUUGCCCUCCUCGGCUUGUUUGAUGUCUAAUGUCUGCUGGUCAAAUUAUGUGCAAUAACAGUCAACUAGAAUGCACAAUAUUGUGCUSUAUACCUUUUUUCCCCCUUUAAUGUCGUCCUUCUUGUAAUGCAAAGCGACCAGAAUGCAUAAGAUCUGGACGUGCGUCAUGAAUUCCCUGUGGCCUUGUAUGGGUGUUGGCCAGCAUWUUUUUUUUAUUUUGCUGCCAAUAAAACAAAAUAAGAAAACGCACCAAAAUAAUCUGAAAAAAAUGGUGGUUGCUGCUUUGAAAACCACACUAUCAUGUUUAGAAUAAAUACAGCACACACACUUAUAAAAAAACAACAAUACUUUAUUAUUUACCCUUUAUUCCCACACAACUGUAAUUUUAUUUUUUUAUUUUCUUGUCGCCUUUUCAUUUGUUUAAUUUCUGGUCUAAUUUAUAAUUCAGAUUAUGUUCUGUUAUGUGUGCAAACUUAGGUGAGCUAUGUUUUAAUUUAUGUAUUUGUCAAGUUUCCUAACACUUUUUUAAUCGUAUUUAUUAGAAACAAAAGCACUUCGAAGCCAAAACAACAGCUCAUAUUCAAUUUAAAUGAAUUAAGACGUGUUGUAGUUUUGGACACCCUCCGCGCCGUUUCAUGGUUUAAGAUAUGAAACCUCAAGUCUCAGRUUAAGACUAUUUUUAGCGCCGAUUGCGCGUAAAGUUGCACCGAGGCUCCGGCUGCUGGCACAUGUGUUUGUUAAUGCCGGUGAUGAAACGRAUAGGAGAUAUGCGGGUGAUAAUUUGGUGCAAAUCAUAAACAGCUUUAAGUUGCGCAAACUGAGGCUUGAGGUUUUAUUUGGUU